GAAUGAAGUGGGAUGAAAUUUGCUGCCUCGCUCAAGAACGAAAUGAAUGGAGGAGAAUGGUUGACGCCUUAUGCUCCACUGGGAGUGAAUAAGAGGAAGAGAGAUUACUACACUUUCCUAUUAUGGACUUGUGUUUGAAGCACAUGGUUACUAUAGAAACCUAAUGCAGAUCAAGAGCCCUGAAACCUCCAGCACAACAGGGAUUUCAAAGCAACCAUUUCGUGUUGAGUCUCCAAGUUUUU